AACGAACGCUGGCGGCAUGCCUAACACAUGCAAGUCGAACGAGACCUUCGGGUCUAGUGGCGCACGGGUGCGUAACGCGUGGGAACCUGCCCUUAGGUUCGGAAUAACUCCCCGAAAGGGGUGCUAAUACCGGAUAAUGUCUUCGGACCAAAGAUUUAUCGCCUUUGGAUGGGCCCGCGUUGGAUUAGCUCGUUGGUAGGGUAAAAGCCUACCAAGGCGACGAUCCAUAGCUGGUCAGAGAGGAUGAUCAGCCACACUGGGACGGAGACACGGCCCAGACUCCUACGGGAGGCAGCAGUGGGGAAUAUUGGACAAUGGGCGAAAGCCUGAUCCAGCAAUGCCGGGUGAGUGAUGAAGGCCUUAGGGUUGUAAAGCUCUUUUACCCGGGAUGAUAAUGACAGUACCGAGAGAAUAAGCGCCGGCUAACUCCGUG
rnacentral:rRNA from 1 species